rnacentral:rRNA from 2 species
AUAAACGACUCUCGGCAACGGAUAUCUCGGCUCACGCAUCGAUGAAGAACGUAGCAAAAUGCGAUACUUGGUGUGAAUUGCAGAAUCCCGUGAACCAUCGAGUUUUUGAACGCAGGUUGCGCCCGAAGCCUUUUGGCUGAGGGCACGUCUGCCUGGGCGUCACAC